rnacentral:rRNA from 1 species
GACGAACGUUGGCGGCGUGCUUAAUACAUGCAAGUCAACUGAAGCAGUGGUAGCAAUAUCGCUGUGGAGGUGGCGCACGGGUGAGUAACACGUAGGUAAUCUGCCUUCAGGUCUGGCAUAACUCCGGGAAACCGGGGCUAAUAGCAGAUGAUGCAGCGGCUCGACAUCGAGACAGUUGUUAAAGCUAUGGCGCCUGAAGAUGAGCCUGCGUCUGAUUAGCUAGUUGGCGGGGUAACGGCCCACCAAGGCAACGAUCAGUAGCUGGUCUGAGAGGAUGAUCAGCAACACUGGAACUGAGACACGGUCCAGACUCCGACGGGAGGCAGCAGUAAGGAAUAUUGCUCAAUGGGAGAAAGCCUGAAGCAGCAACGCCGCGUGGGGGACGAAGGGCUUUUGCUUGUAAACCUCUGUAGUGAGAGAAAAAAAUCCCAAUCUUUGGGACAUGAUGGUAUCUCAAAAGUAAGCCCCGGCUAACUACGUG